AGUGAACGCUGGCGGUAGGCCUAACACAUGCAAGUCGAACGGCAGCACAGUAAGAGCUUGCUCUUACGGGUGGCGAGUGGCGGACGGGUGAGGAAUACAUCAGACUCUACUUUUUCGUGGGGGAUAACGUAGGGAAACUUACGCUAAUACCGCAUACGACCUACGGGUGAAAGCAGGGGAUCUUCGGACCUUGCGCGAUUGAAUGAGCCGAUGUCGGAUUGGCUAGUUGGCGGGGUAAAGGCCCACCAAGGCGACGAUCCGUAGCUGGUCGGAGAGGAUGAUCAGCCACACUGGAGCUGGGACACGGUCCAGGCUCCUACGGGAGGCAGCAGUGGGGAAUAUUGGACAAUGGGCGCAAGCCUGAUCCAGCCAUACCGCGUGGGUGAAGAAGGCCUUCGGGUUGUAAAGCCCUUUUGUUGGGAAAGAAAAGCAGCAGGUUAAUACCCCGCUGUUCUGACGGUACCCAAAGAAUAAGCACCGGCUAACUUCGUG
rnacentral:rRNA from 1 species